AACGAACGCUGGCGGCAGGCUUAACACAUGCAAGUCGAACGCCCCGCAAGGGGAGUGGCAGACGGGUGAGUAACGCGUGGGAACAUACCCUUUCCUGCGGAAUAGCUCUGGGAAACUGGAAUUAAUACCGCAUACGCCCUACGGGGGAAAGAUUUAUCGGGGAAGGAUUGGCCCGCGUCGGAUUAGCUAGUUGGUGGGGUAAAGGCCUACCAAGGCGACGAUCCAUAGCUGGUCUGAGAGGAUGAUCAGCCACAUUGGGACUGAGACACGGCCCAAACUCCUACGGGAGGCAGCAGUGGGGAAUAUUGGACAAUGGGCGCAAGCCUGAUCCAGCCAUGCCGCGUGAGUGAUGAAGGCCUUAGGGUUGUAAAGCUCUUUCACCGAUGAAGAUAAUGACGGUAGUCGGAGAAGAAGCCCCGGCUAACUUCGUGCCAGCCGCCGCCGCAGUAA
rnacentral:rRNA from 1 species